UCCUUGGUUAGGUAUAUUCCUAAGUAUUUUAUUUUACUUUUUGCUGCUGUUGCAAAAGAGAUUGAGUUCUUGGUUUGUUUAUCAGCUUGGUUGUUGGUAUAUAGCAGUGUUACUGAUUUGUGUACAUUGAUUUUGUAACCUGUGACUCUACAGAACUAAUUGAUCAAAUCUAGGAGUCUUUUGGAGGAGUCUUUAGGAUCUUCUAUGUAUAUGAUUAUAUCAUUAACAAACAGUGACUGUCUGACUUCCUGUUUUCCAAUUUGAAUGCCUUUUAUUUCUUUCUCUUGCCUAAUCGCUAUGGCUAGGACUUCCAGAACUAAGCUGAAUAGGAAGUGGUGAAAGUCGGCAUCCUUGUCCUGUUUCUGUUCGCAGGAGGAAGGCUUUAAACUUUUCCCCAUUCAGUAUGAUGUUGGCUUUGUUGUAAAUGGCUUUUAUUAUGUUGAGGAAUGUCCCUUGUAUGCUGAUUAUACUGAGAGUUUUAGUCAUAAGGGAUUCUGGAUUUUGUCGAAUGCUUUUUCUGCAUCUAUUG